UACGUAGGCAGCAAGCGUUGUUCGGAAUUACUGGGCGUAAAGAGUGUGUAGGCGGUGCUCUAAGUUCGGUGUGAAAUCUCCUGCUUAACUGGGAGGGUGCGCCGGAAACUGGGGUGCUCGAGCGUGGGAGAGGAAAGCGGAAUUCCUGGUGUAGCGGUGAAAUGCGGUAGAUAUCAGGAGGAACACCUGUGGUGUGAAGACAGCUUUCUGGGACCAUUGCUGACCGCUUGAGACCACGAAAGCGUGGGUAGCAAACAGGA
rnacentral:rRNA from 1 species